AGUGAACGCUGGCGGCAGGCCUAACACAUGCAAGUCGAACGGCAGCACAGUAAGAGCUUGCUCUUACGGGUGGCGAGUGGCGGACGGGUGAGGAAUACAUCGGCAUCUUCUUUUUCUUGGGGGAUAACGUAGGGAAACUUACGCUAAUACCGCAUACUUCCUACGGGUUAAAGCAGGAGAGCUUCGGACCUUUCGCGUUUGAAUGAGCUGAUGUCGGAUUAGCUAGUUGGCAGGGUAAAGGCCCACCAAGGCAACGAUCCGUAGCUGAUCUGAGAGGAUGAUCGGCCACACUGGAACUGAGACACGGUCCAGACUCCUACGGGAGGCAGCAGUGGGGAAUAUUGGGCAAUGGGCGCAAGCCUGAUCCAGCCAUACCGCGUGGGUGAAGAAGGCCUUCGGGUUGUAAAGCCCUUUUGUUGGGAAAGAAAAGCAGCAGAUUAAUACGCCGCUGUUCUGACGGUACCCAAAGAAUAAGCACCGGCUAACUUCGUG
rnacentral:rRNA from 1 species